rnacentral:rRNA from 1 species
UACGUAGGGUGCAAGCGUUAAUCGGAAUUACUGGGCGUAAAGCGUGCGCAGGCGGUUGUGCAAGACAGAUGUGAAAUCCCCGGGCUUAACCUGGGAACUGCAUUUGUGACUGCACGGCUGGAGUGCGGCAGAGGGGGAUGGAAUUCCGCGUGUAGCAGUGAAAUGCGUAGAUAUGCGGAGGAACACCGAUGGCGAAGGCAAUCCCCUGGGCCUGCACUGCCGCUCGUGCACGAAAGCGUGGGGAGCAAACAGGAUUAGAUACCCUGGUAGUCCACGCCCUAAACGAUGUCAACUGGUUGUUGGAGGGGUUCCCUUUCAGUAACGAAGCUAACGCGUGAAGUUGACCGCCUGGGGAGUACGGCCGCAAGGUUGAA